UGGGUUCAGAACGUCGUGAGACAGUUCGGUCCCUAAUCCGUCGCAGGCCGUAGGAAAUUGGAGAAGACCUGUCCUUAGUACGAGAGGACCGGGAUGGACGUACCUCUGGUGUACCAGUUGUUCUGCCAAGGGCAUGGCGUGGGUAGCUAUGUACGGAAUGGAUAAGCGCUGAAAGCAUCUAAGCGCGAAGCCAACUUCAAGAUAAGAUUUCCCACCGCAAGGGUAAGACCCCAGAAAGACUAUCUGGUUGAUAGGUCGAAGGUGUAAGUGCAGCAAUGUAUUUAGCUUAUCGAUACUAAUAGGUCGAGGGACUUGACCAAU
rnacentral:rRNA from 1 species